UACGUAGGGGGGCGAGCGUUACCCGGAUUUACUGGGCGUAAAGAGCGUGUAGGCGGCUGGCCAAGCGUGAUGUGAAAUCUUCGGGCUUAACCCGAAAACUGCAUUGCGAACUGGUCUGGCUAGAGUGUGUGAGAGGGUAGUGGAAUUCCCGGUGUAGCGGUGAAAUGCGUAGAUAUCGGGGAGGAACACCGGUGGCGAAGGCGGCGACCUGGUCCGAUACUGACGCUGAGGCGCGAAAGCGUGGGGAGCAAACAGG
rnacentral:rRNA from 1 species